AUGGUUGUCGUCAGCUCGUGUCGUGAGAUGUUGGGUUAAGUCCCGCAACGAGCGCAACCCUCGACCUUAGUUGCCAUCUGGUAAUGCAGGGACUCUAGCGAAACUGCCACGUAAGGUGAGAGGAAGUGGGGAUGACGUCAAAUCAGCACGGCCCUUAUGUCCAGGGCUACACACGUGUUACAAUGGUCGGUACAGAGGGCAGCUACCUGGUGACAGGAUGACUAAUACUCGAAAACCGGUCUCAGUUCGGAUCGAAGUCUGCAACUCGACUUCGUGAAGCUGGAUUCGCUAGUAAUCGCGCAUCAGCUAUGGCGCGGUGAAUACGUUCCCGGGCCUU
rnacentral:rRNA from 1 species